UAAUCCUCAUGCCAAAGAGACAUAACUUGGGGUGGCCAAUUCCAGACCCCUACAAGGUCAAAAGGGAAGAAAGAUAUAACCAACCACAUGUUGUCUUCUGCCUGGUAGUGACAUGCAUCAUUUCCAUUGACAUGUCAUUGGCCAGAAUGAGCCACAUGGCCAGGCUGUAUAUUCAGGGAGUGGGAAAGUAUAAUCCUACGCCCAUAAGAUGCAGAGACUAUUUGUGACCAAUAAUGCAAUUUACCUGGGUACAUGGGAGCUGCUCUUCGCAGAACGGUGUGUCCUAAGUAACGCAAUGUGACUAUGGCACUGAAAUACUCGAGUCCAAUCAAAAUGACCAGUGGAGAAGAAAAGAGUCCUCCGAAAACCUAGAGCCAAAGCCAAGACCACAUCAAAAUGACCCCAGCUAGGCAAAUCUGAAAGAAGAAGUAGUUUAGCAGGAAGAACAUAGUCUGCACGGAGGCUGGAAAAGUCCAGGUGGGAGGGUUGUAAAACAUGAAUGUCACCAUCACGACUCGGGAGACAAAGGGUUCUAAUCAUUUGGCAAGAGCAUCCUGGUGCACUUGGCAAGCAUGUUUUUGCCAUGGUGAUAUCUAUAAGACGGGGUUAUAAUAAGGCAUACCUCUUAGAGUUGGUCAUGGAACCAUUAAAUGAUAUAAUGAUUGUGAUGAGCUCAGCACAGUGCCCAGUCCAUAUUACGUGCUCAUUAAAUGCUACAUUAUAUAGACAUAGAUGUGAAUAUAGAUAUAGAUAUAGACACAGGUAUGGGCAUAGACAUGGACAUAGAUAGAGAUAGAGAGAGAUAAAAUUCUCCAUCACAUUCAGGGUCUGGACCCUGCAAGGCUGUGAGCGUCAGACCCCAACUGGACCUGGUGCUGCCCUCCAUCAUAAUGUGGCAUGGCCUAGAGCCCUCACAUCUGUAUGGCACUUUAAUAUUUCCACAGUACGUUCUCAUCCAUUUUUUUCCCACUUAAUCCUUGCAAGUCCAUGAAGUGCAGGAGUCCACAGCUUGGAAUCCAACUCCAAACUCCAAAGCUGGCUUCACCUGAAGCCUGUGGGCUCCAAAUUCUAUGUUUUCUCCAAUGAAAUCCUGCCUGAAGCAGAGUUCUGACCACCUGCUUUGAUCUGCCUCUCUCUCUCUUCAAUAGUUACUUCAAAGGGACAAUAUUUGAAAAAUAAUGAUACUCAACUACCCUAUUUUUCAUUCAGGGUAUGUGUCUUCCUCUCAACUCUCUGACGUGUCCAACCCAGGACGUGACUGGCCUUGACAUGUCCAACCCAGGACGUGACCGGCCUUAGGUGGUUUCGGUCCCUGUUCUGGGCUCCAUAUGCCCUGGCACAGAAGGCUGAGCCUGCUUCUCAUUGUAACAAGGUUGCGCUAAUUAGCUGCAUUUGAUUUUGCAUAUGGAGAGAAAUGCAAAUGAAUGCAAAGCAGUAUGCAAAUUAGCAACAUCCUGGCUCUCCAAAAGAACGAGCCUGCAAUACUGAUGUCAUGACAAUGUAUAUUAAUGGUCCAUCUCACUAAGGCAUGUUACUUUCUUCAAAAGGGGCAGGAAUCUGGGGUUUUCUUUUUUCUGAAAUAAUAGCGACUUUAUAUUGAAUUCCAAGUUUAUGAUCCUUGACAAGAAGUCUGUUGGCCACAAUGCUAUGUUCUCUAUAGAAGAUCGAGUUUGCUGGAAAGAGACACUGGCUUGGGAGCUGAGCCAUAUAGAUUGUGGCUCAAAGUCCUGCUCUUUGCCUGGGCAAACAACCUGAGUCUCAGUCUCCUCAGCUAUAAAAUGGAGUUGACCAAUCUACCACAUUUGGAGCUGUUGGUAAGGACUAAAUGAGAUAACGUUUAAAGUCACCUGACAUACAACAGGUGCUCAGUAACUCACUGUUCACUCCCUCUCCACACUCAUCCCUUCCUCCUUUGGGAGACUGGAUUGGCAAAUAAUGGGGCUAGAGGGCUCAUCUCCUAGUCCUUGUCUGCCCUGCAUUGCUUGUCAUUCCAUUUAAUGCAUUUUUCUAAUACAAACCUGUGCCACAGCCCAGCCAUUUUUAACAAAGAACUAUAGGACCUUUUAGAGUCCUCCAAAAAUGAAUAGAUGACUCUAUCCCGCUCCCCAAAGUAACACCCACCGAAAAAUAGCAACUAUUCUUACAAAGCCUCUUCUGUCAUCCACCCUUCCCCAAGCUGCCGAAUUCCUCGACUUUCAGGAUUUAGUUCAAGCACUGCUGUAUCCUGGAAGCCUUUCACGGGGCCCCUGAAAGACUAGUUGCUCCCCUCUGCCCUCUGUGCUCCUGGACACCCCGUGGCCCCUCCACAUCCGCGUUCUGUUACUGCAGCUUGACUUAUCUUCCUCUCUAAAUAGACUGGACGUUUCUCCAUGACAGAGACUAUCUCUUAAUCAUCUUUGUGUCCUUAGCCCAUGGAGCAGGGCCUGGCAUGGGGAAGGUGAUCAGUAUGUGCAGGAGGGAGAGGGAAGGGACAAGGAGAAGAAGGGAGGGAAGGAAGGAAGGAGGAGGCAAGGAAAGAAGCAUCCUCAUAUUUCACUGGAGCCAAGCACACCCAUACAUACAGUUACUCACAACAAAACCCUGAUUAAAAUCAGACGCAUUCUGGAAAUACAUGAACACCUGAACUGGGUCCCUGGUACCCAGCCUCAUCUCAGAGCAGAAUGAGAUCACAGGGACACAAAUCUGCUUUCAGGCAGAGACCUCCCUCCCAGGCAGGCAGUGUGGGGACAGAGGGCUUUCUGUUUAGGGCACCAUGUCUCCCAGACCAGCCUCAUCCACUCAGAAUUGAUGAUCUGAACAGUCUGACCAUAUGUUGAAGAUUCAUAUUCUGUAACCGGAGCCUCUAGCUGAAGCAAACUAAAGAAAUGGCUGUUGUUCAAACUGCCUGCCCCCCAUGCAUGGGGAGGGCACACAUACACACACAGCCACCUACAUGUGCAGGCAUGUUCAUAUGUGUACACAGACCCACCUUCACACGAGACAAACACACAUACUUAGAGGCACACAUCUAGAGCUGCUCACAGGCAACAGACACACACUCUGAGAUUAGCUUUAUCUUCCUCUUUUGUUCCAAACACCCACACGCAGACGCUGCUCUUGAUGAUUAUUGGCACUUCUGAAACUCCACAGACGGAAUGUGUGAAGACGGCCCCAGAAUGCACCACCUGCUCCACCUGCCCAAGCCCACAGCAGGGCCUCUUAGGGCUCCACUCCUCGGAGUGGCCCAUCCUCCUUUGGGGGCUGUUAAUAAAUAAACUUCAGGGCCAAAAGGCGGAGGUGUCAGCCGAGUGACCUGGAAGACCUCCAGGAAGGAAUCUAUUUACCACCUCGCCAGCAUUUUCUCAUGGCGGCUUUUGAGAGAGUUCUCACUUCGAAGGUGAAGAAACUGAGAGAUGGAGUGAGCUGCCUGAGGCUGUGCAGAUACCUGGCCACAGAAUCAGAAUUGAGGCUGUGCCACAGCUGCCCGAUCCUCGGCCCAGGCUGGCUCCGCUGCUCUGAGCUCUUUGCAAAACAAACUCAGGAAAACAAGUCCAAAGAUCUAGGGUGAAUCUUCUCAGCACCAGAGGAUUCUGAAAACUCCUCCACAAGGGCAUGAGGGAGGCACAGGCAUUGCCCUCCCCUGGGGUGAGAUCAAAGGAUGUCAUUGGCCCUGCUGCUGGCAGAAAACUCAGUGGAGGGAGGAAAGGGCAGAAGAAACUGAGGAGUGAUUGAAGGAGAAAGAGAAAGGGCAGGGAGAAAGAGAAAAAGGAGGGAGGGAGAAAGGAAGGAAGGAAGUAGGGAAGAAUGGCAGGGAGGGAGAGAGGAAGGAAGGGUAGCGGGCAGGCAGGCAAUCUACCUCAGAGGAAGAGUGCGUUCUCCAUGGAAACAAAAGUGCCUGUUUGUCUUAAGAUGCCCCUAAAGAGGAAAAUUGUAAAUCAUUUCCACCCAGGAGACCAGGAUGAUUGCCCAGGCUUUGACAGCUGAAUUCAAAAAGCCCUCCUAUCGUUCACGGUAGACCCCGUGGUUCCCACUUAGGCCAGGGGCUACGGGGGCUGUUAAAAAAAGGUAGGUCUCACACAUUCUAUUUUCUCUUAAACAUUCCUUUUAGACAAAUAAUAUUCAGGGGUCAUUUUAUCUCUUCCUCCAUCCUCGAUUGCAAAGAAAACAAGAGAGGGAGGGAUGGUGAAAGGGAGGGAGGGAGAGAGAAACUAAGAAACAGAGAGCUUUGGGCAAAACUGACACCUGCCAUGACACCAAGAAGGAUCUUGCAUCCAGGCAAGGGAGCUGGAGGUGGACGGACUGAAUCUGAAGGUCAACAGUGUUUGUUUCAAGCGACGGGGCCUGGGAAAGCUACUACUCAGCCUCUGACCCUCUUAUCCGGGAAUGAGAGGUAAUGAGCCCCAGUCUGGUGGGGUGGCUGCAAAGACUUACUGAUCUACGGCUUCCGUGAAAGAACUUGGUGGAGGGCCAGGUGCCUAGCAAGACUGCAUAAAACUCUAUUCCUUCCUUCCCUUCUGGCACUAUUGUUGCAUAAUAAUUACCUCAAAACAGUGGCUUAAAACAACGAGCAUUUAUUAUCUCACGGUCUCUGUGGGUCAGGAAUUUGGGGGGCCUUAUUUGGGAGAUUCUCCCACUUGAGCCUCUCCAAGAGCUGCUUGAGUGUCCUCACAACAUGGCAGUGGGCUUCCCCAGAGCAAGUGAUCCAAGACAGGGCAAGGAGGAAACCAUUAAGUCUUUCAUGAUCUAGCCUGGGAAGUCACACAUCCUUACUUCCACCGUAUUCUAUUUGCAAGAAAUUAGCUUCCACCUUUUAAGGUGGUGAAUGUCCAAAAAUUUGUGGACAUAUUUUAAAGCCACAAAGUUCAGGCCUCCGAACAAUGGUUUUGGAAAGCUGUGCAUCACUGUGGCAGGGCCCCACACCCACCUGCCUGCCUGUUUCUACCUGCCUAUCUCAGAGACCACCGAGAUCUGUCUGAAACCUGCAGCAGCCUUUGAGGCACAGGAAUAUUUACUUAAGGUAAAGUAAUAUUUGUCAUGAGAACAAUAUAAUAACAUUCUUUGCAUGUGUAAAAAUAUUGUAUUCUUUCACAGUCCUUAUAACUCAUUUGAUUGCCCCUGAAACCACGUGAGGGAGAUUCAAGGGGCAUUAUUACCCCCAUUUUAGAGAUGAGGAAACUGAGGCACAUGAGGCCUAGAAUGUCUGCAGUAAUCAUAGCUAGUAUUUAUUUACCCCCUAAUGUAUACAGGGACGGCUUUAAUUAAUUUAGGCUCCUGGGAGCCCAACAGGCAGCUUCAGCACAUAACGUAUUAUUUUGGUUUGCAAACACAAUGUUUAAAAAACUAUUUUUUGAUCUGAAAGCUUUAUGGAGGGCACGUGUAGACCACAUCUGCCCACCUGUCUUCACCAGGCCCACUUGCCUGGCCUCUGAAGGCAUUUGAGUUCAGAGCCUCGUUUGUAUAUAACAGGUUACUGGACCUUCAAAUGCUCCUGUGAGAUGCUCUCUAGCUGACGGGAUAUUGAGGAUCAAGGAGGCUCAAUGACUUGCCAUAAGUCACACAGCUGCCAAGCAGCAGUACCGGGAAUCGAAUUCAGGUUUGAUUCCAAGUCGCAUGCUGUCUCCACAGAGCGUGCAGAACACGCCCCAGAAUAGUGCCAUCCUGACCCCUCACCAAGGGUUCUGAGCCUCCCCCCCCAUCCUGAGGGGCAUCUCCUCAAAUUCCCCAGGGUGCCCGGCCACCUGUCAUCCCUUGUGCCCUCCGGCAGUGGCCACAGUCCAAGAGGAAAACAGUUGGUUUGUUCGGAAAAUCAGUCUCGUGGGCCGCUCCUACAAAACACCAACAGUUAACACUUACUGAGCACUUACUGUGUGCCAGGCCGACUCGCUUCAUUAUCUCAUUGAGUCCUUACACAGCAGGAAGGGCACCAUUACUACUCCCAUUUUCCUGAUGAGGAAGCUGGUGAUUUCCAUGAGUUGGUCAUUUGAGCUGGGCUCAGCUAGGAAGUUUUUCUGCUCACAGGGGUGUAGACUGGACUCAUACAUUUGCAGCCAGUUGGUGGUCAGCCAGAGGCCGGCUGGUCCUGAUGGUCUCGCUCGCAUAUCUGGUGGUUGGUCCUGGCUGGCAGUUGGGUCCUCUUUCCAGAGCCUCCAGUAGGUAGUGCAGGUUCCUUGACAUGAUGUCAGAAGCAUUCCAAAAGAGUGAAGGCAGAAAUGGCAAGGCCUCUAUAAUUCGUUCCAAGUCACUGUUUCCACGAUCUGUUUGUCAAAACGAGUCACAAAGCCAACGCAGAUGAAAAGGGAUGGGAAAACAGAUUCCACCUCUGGAUGGAAGGAGCAGCAGAGUGGGACUACAUAACAGGAUGGGAGGAAUUGGUGGCCAUGAAACAAUCUACCGCAUCUGCCACCACUAUACAUGGUCCCUUCCUUUCCUUCUCUUCAGAAUUCUGCUUGUGUCUUUUGAUUACUUUUGGACCCCAACUGGAACAAUAUAUACCAUUACUUAUGACGUCAUACCAUUCCUAUCCUUCUUCAGACAGCUUUUUAUACUUAACGUUAUGUUUUUGAGAUUCAUCCCUAUUUACUACAUGUAGCUCUCGUUCAUUUAUUUUCACUCCUCUACAAUACUCCUUGUAUGAGUUUAUUUGGUCCACUCUCCUGUGGAUGGACAUUUAGCUUAGCAGUUUUAUACAAUUACAAAUACGACGUUUCUCCUUGCACAUGAGAGUUCUCUAGGGAGUAUAAUUAGGAGUAGAGUUGCUGUAGUGUAAUACUGCCAAAUUACUCUCCAAAGUCAAUAUAGUCUUUAAUAGAACAAAUAGAAUUUGAGAGCUGAACGAAGUUGAAAAACCGGGUUCACCUUACGUUGUGCAAUUAGCUGUGUUUUGAAGAACCGUAGCAAUGUCUGGUUGGAAUGCACCUCCCACCCAAUAUAAGAAUCCUUUCAACAGUGUUCCCAGGAGAUGGUCAAACAAUCCUUGCUUUAACUCCUGAAAAUACACAGGGGAAGCUUGUUCCUCUAACUGUGAUACCCUCUGCAGAGCAAGAAUAAUUUUGGAAAAAGAAUAAUCCUUUCAUCUUACAGCACAGCCGAAGCCCGGGAUGCGUGGCCAAAGGAAGAAGGAGCAAGAGAUGAUGAAGGAGGAAUAGAGUCCUGAGUGAGCACCUACAAUGCACUAGACACCAGGAACAGAUUCAGAGGAUUUGUAGGCGAAGCACCAAGGCAACCUUCUGACUGGGGAUCUUAUGACACAGAUGUUGAUACACGGAAUGUGCAAGUGUGGAAGAUUCUCGCUGGACUGCGAUGCCUCCAUCCAACACGUAUUUAUUGCUCCGUCGGUGUGUGCAGGUCUGGAGGCCAGAGAUCAAGGUGUCGGCGGGCCGUGCUCCCACCGAACCUGUGGUGGGGCCCUACGAAGAGAGACGCCAGGGAUUCACGUACACAGAGAAAAGACCAUGUGAGGACACGGUGAGAAGGUGGCUAUCUGCAAGCCAAGGAGAGAGGACUCAAGAGAAAGCAGCCCUGCGGACACCUAUCUUGGACUUCUAGGCUCCAGAACUGAGAAAAUAAAUUUCUUUUAAGCCCCC